CGGGGUGUGGCGCAGUCUGGUAGCGCGCGAGUUUUGGGUACUUGAGGUCCUAGGUUCGAAUCCUAGUACCCCGACCA
rnacentral:tRNA from 1 species